AACGAACGCUGGCGGCAUGCCUAACACAUGCAAGUCGAACGAGACCUUCGGGUCUAGUGGCGCACGGGUGCGUAACGCGUGGGAACCUGCCCUUAGGUUCGGAAUAACUCCCCGAAAGGGGUGCUAAUACCGGAUAAUGUCUUCGGACCAAAGAUUUAUCGCCUUUGGAUGGGCCCGCGUUGGAUUAGCUAGUUGGUAGGGUAAAAGCCUACCAAGGCGACGAUCCAUAGCUGGUCUGAGAGGAUGAUCAGCCACACUGGGACUGAGACACGGCCCAGACUCCUACGGGAAGGAGCAGUGGGGAAUAUUGGACAAUGGGCGAAAGCCUGAUCCAGCAAUGCCGCGUGAGUGAUGAAGGCCUUAGGGUUGUAAAGCUAUUUUACCCGGGAUGAUAAUGACAGUACCGGGAGAAUAAGCUCCGGCUAACUCCGUG
rnacentral:rRNA from 1 species